GUUAGCCAGAUGUAAGAGCUUAAGGCCUUCUCAAAUGUUUCCUUAGCAUUUGCAAUGCCUUGAGCUUGUGCACAGCCCUAUGUGCAUGUGCAUGAUCUUCCAGAUUUUGUGUAAUAUGUGAGAGCUUUACAAAGCCACAUUUGGACAUCUCAUUCCUUAGACUGUCUUUUAAGCUUUUUGGUUAGCUUAUUGUUUUCCCAACUGUUUUUCACUGCCUCAGACCUUGAGUUCCAUGUUAGGUCAAAUAAAGACAGUCUUGUUAGUGGGGUCUUCCAGGAAAUCACCAACUAGGCCAAAUAAUAACAAAUUCCAUGUUAAUGGAGUUUUGAAUGAGUUCCAAUUCCAUUCUGCUCCCUCCCAUGGUUGCCAGGCGACUGGUUUUCUCCGUGAUUGCAGGCUAUUGGUUUUCAAGGCUACUGUAGUGCUGGAGAGGGAAUGUCCUCCCUCCUAAUUACCAUGGAGUGGGUUCCUUCUGCUCCCAGCUCAAUGUCAUCUCUACAGAAAGCCCUUUGCUAACCAUCCCCUGAAACAGACUCAAAAGGAUUAAGUCACCCACCUGUGGACACACGGGGUGAAGAAACAAUUUGAAUCAUGUUCCCAUCUCUCUUUCUCCUGGAAGUCCAUGUUCCUUGAAAAUUGAGGUCAAUGAAUGAAUGUCAAGACAACUGCUAUAGUUAUUUUAACCUCUGCAGGAUGAGGAAGCCUUGAAGUAUUAGACUAAGGUUAUUUUGCAGACGUCGGUAACCAAUUUCCUUUUAGGCAUGAAAUCAGAGCAAAUAAAGCCAAAUUCUAGACACAAAACACUUCUGGGAUGUGUAGAUUAUCAAAAAAUAAA
rnacentral:lncRNA from 1 species